AAAAAAUUUUAAAGUUCACAGAACAAUCAUAAGGAAAUUAUAAUUUUUCAUCAAUUGUUAAGAUGCUUCACCUAGUUUCAGUUUGCAUAAUAAUUUUUGAAUUCCCACUAUACCCUUCAGAUAGAGACUGCAUGUGUAUAUAAAACUUAGUCUUACUUGCAUGUACACCUGAGGACACUCAUGCUGGUUUUGAAGAAUCGAGCUGCUAAGUUAUGGACUGCCAAUGGAGAAGGCCACAUGAAAGGGAACUGUGAGCCUCAACUCUACUGCAAGGAACUGAAUUCUGCCAACAACUAAGUUAGCAUGAAAGUAAACCCAAGCUCCAAAUGAGACCACAACCCCAACAGACACCUUGGCUGCAGCCUGUCACACCCCAAAUUGAACAGCCAGGUUACCUAUGGCUGUAAAGUUGACCCAUGGACAUGGAGAAACUUUCUUUCUUCUAAUGAUGUGCACUUACUCAUAGACAGAAGCCAGAUUCAGCUGGCUUCCCUAGGGAGGAAGCUCAAAAGCGCUUCAGUGUAUCUCACCAGGAGAUAGCUGGAAACACAGCUUAUAUUACCAAAACUUUCACUAGAAUGUCAAUUCUUCAGAUAUGAACAGACAACUUUAAAAAACUGAGGUUGGAUUUAUGAAACCAGUAAAAGCCCCUUGAAGAAGCUGAGCUGGUACCUUGAAUACAAGUUUCCUGGCCUUGUGGAGAUUCAAGAAUGUGACUUUCUGACCUGCCUUGGGACCUCAAAAUAUUUUGUGAGCCUAAAAGAGAGAAGAAUUCAGCUAGCUUCUACAAGUAAAGUUUGAUGCAUUUUGCUUUGGCAUCCAGGCUGGAGUGCAAUGGCACGAUCUCAGCUCACUCAGCUCAACCUCCGCCUCCCAGGUUCAAGCGAUUCUCCUACCUCAGCCUCCCGGGUGAGUGGGAUUACAGGCGUCAGCCACCAUGCCCAGCUAAUUUUUGUAUUUUUAGUAGAGAUGGGGUUUCACCACUUUGGCCAGGCUGGUCUUGAACUCCUGACCGCAGAGGAUCCGCCUGCCUCGGCCUCCCAAAAUUCACCGGGCCGGACUAAAGCCUUUUAAAUAAACGUACACUCCUGCUCUGACACUUGCCUUGGUCUCUUUUACUGCCUUAUGCUCCUCAGUCAGAUUCUUUCUUCUGAGAAGGCAAGAAUUGAGGUUGCUGCAGACCCAUACAGAUUUGGCACCAAUAAGUUAAAUAUCUUUGACUGGUAACAAGCCUAUAUGAACAAUCACUA